AUUGAACGCUGGCGGCAGGCCUAACACAUGCAAGUCGAACGGUAACAGGAAGAAGCUUGCUUCUUUGCUGACGAGUGGCGGACGGGUGAGUAAUGUCUGGGAAACUGCCUGAUGGAGGGGGAUAACUACUGGAAACGGUAGCUAAUACCGCAUAACGUCGCAAGACCAAAGAGGGGGACCUUCGGGCCUCUUGCCAUCGGAUGUGCCCAGAUGGGAUUAGCUAGUAGGUGGGGUAACGGCUCACCUAGGCGACGAUCCCUAGCUGGUCUGAGAGGAUGACCAGCCACACUGGAACUGAGACACGGUCCAGACUCCUACGGGAGGCAGCAGUGGGGAAUAUUGAACAAUGGGCGCAAGCCUGAUGAAGCCAUGCCGCGGGUAUGAAGAAGGCCUUCGGGUUGUAAAGUACUUUCAGCGGGGAGGAAGGGAGUAAAGUUAAUACCUUUGCUAAUUGACGUUACCCGCAGAAGAAGCACCGGCUACUCCGUG
rnacentral:rRNA from 1 species